GGUGACCGGUCUCAUAGAUUAGAAACAAAAAAGAAGAAAGAAAAGAAAUAUCCAAACCAAAGAGGUGACCGGUCUCAUAGAUUAGAAACGACAAAGAAGAAAGAAAAAGAAAUAUCCAAACCAAAGAGGUUACCAUUGACGAAAGAGGGAUGACACAGUACUCCAUUGAGAUGGCCCAAAUAGAUGGUGACCAAAUUCCACUGCUUUUUCAAACUAAAAAGGAUGAGGUCUCUCACUCUCUCAACUAUACAAAAUAGAAUAGUUUUUUCCUUUUCUUCAAUGUAAAUUUAGGUCUACCUCAUGGUCCUAACAUGUUCACUAACAAUGGUUUAAUUUAUAUGUGCUACUUGAUAUAUAUAUGUUGUUGGUUUUUUACAGGAUUGAAACGUAUGCUCUGAUACCAAAUAAAAAGGAUAUAU